AGUGAAGCGGGAACAGCUCAAAUUUGAAAUCUGGCCCUUGGGUCCGAGUUGUAAUUUGCAGAGGAUGCUUUUGGUGCGGUGCCUUCCGAGUUCCCUGGAACGGGACGCCUUAGAGGGUGAGAGCCCCGUACGGUUGGACACCAAGCCUAUGUAAAGCUCCUUCGACGAGUCGAGUAGUUUGGGAAUGCUGCUCAAAAUGGGAGGUAUAUUUCUUCUAAAGCUAAAUAUUGGCCAGAGACCGAUAGCGCACAAGUAGAGUGAUCGAAAGAUGAAAAGCACUUUGAAAAGAGGGUUAAAUAGCACGUGAAAUUGUUGAAAGGGAAGGAUUUAUGACCAGACUUUUUCUGGGGGGAUCAUCCGGUGUUCUCACCGGUGCACUUCCCCCAGUUGAGGCCAGCAUCGGUUUCUGUCGAGGGAUAAAAGCUUUAGGAAUGUGGCUCUCUCCGGGGAGUGUUAUAGCCUGUUGCAUAAUACCUUGACGGGGACCGAGGUUCGCGCAUUGCAAGGAUGCUGGCGUAAUGGUUAUUAAUCACCCGUCUUGAAACACGGACCAAGGAGUCGAACAUUUGUGCGAGUGUUUGGGUGUUAAACCCUCACGCGUAAUGAAAGUGAACGGAGGUGAGAGCCUUUAGGGGUGCAUCAUCGACCGAUCCUGAUGUCUUCGGAUGGAUUUGAGUAAGAGCAUAACUGUUCGGACCCGAAAGAUGGUGAACUAUGCGUGGAUAGGGUGAAGCCAGAGGAAACUCUGGUGGAGGCUCGCAGCGGUUCUGACGUGCAAAUCGAUCGUCAAAUCUGCGCAUGGGGGCGAAAGACUAAUCGAACCAUUGACCAGCGGUCAAAACAAUCACUAGGUGGUUAAGAGGGGGUCCGCGAGGACCAUUUGAAAAACCUAGGCUGAGCCCGGUUACCCUGUAGGUUACCCUGUAGCUACCCUGUAGCUUACC
rnacentral:rRNA from 1 species